ensembl:misc_RNA Metazoa_SRP Metazoan signal recognition particle RNA
ACUGGAUGUGAUGGCAUGCGCCUGUAGUCCCAGCUACUCAGGAGCCUGAGGCAGGAGGAUUGCUUGAGCCCAGGAGUUCUGGGCUGAGGUGCCCUAUGCUGAUCGGUUGUCUGCACUACGUUCAGCAUUCACCUUCAGGAGAAGGACCUCUCAGGAGAAGGAAACCACCAGGUUGCCUAAGGAGAGGAAUAACCUGCCCAGGUUGGAAAGAGCAGGUCAAAAUUCUCAUGCUGAUAAGUAGUGGGAUCAUACUUGUGAAUAGCCACUGCACUCCAGCCUGGGCAACAUAGCGAGAUUCCAUCCCUA